GCGUGACGGCGCGAGCAGGUGCGAAAGCAGGUCAUAGUGAUCCGGUGGUUCUGAAUGGAAGGGCCAUCGCUCAACGGAUAAAAGGUACUCCGGGGAUAACAGGCUGAUACCGCCCAAGAGUUCAUAUCGACGGCGGUGUUUGGCACCUCGAUGUCGGCUCAUCACAUCCUGGGGCUGAAGUAGGUCCCAAGGGUAUGGCUGUUCGCCAUUUAAAGUGGUACGCGAGCUGGGUUUAGAACGUCGUGAGACAGUUCGGUCCCUAUCUGCCGUGGGCGCUGGAGAACUGAGGGGGGCUGCUCCUAGUACGAGAGGACCGGAGUGGACGCAUCACUGGUGUUCGGGUUGUCAUGCCAAUGGCACUGCCCGGUAGCUAAAUGCGGAAGAGAUAAGUGCUGAAAGCAUCUAAGCACGAAACUUGCCCCGAGAUG
rnacentral:rRNA from 1 species